rnacentral:rRNA from 1 species
UACGAAGGGUGCAAACGUUGCUCGGAAUUAUUGGGCGUAAAGAGCUCGUAGGCGGUUUGUCGCGUCUGCUGUGAAAAUCCAGGGCUUAACCCUGGACCUGCAGUGGGUACGGGCAGACUGGAGUGCGGUAGGGGAGAUCGGAAUUCCUGGUGUAGCGGUGAAAUGCGCAGAUAUCAGGAGGAACACCGGUGGCGAAGGCGGAUCUCUGGGCCGUAACUGACGCUGAGGAGCGAAAGCAUGGGGAGCGAACAGG